rnacentral:rRNA from 1 species
UCUUGCUGUCACUUAUAGAUGGAUCCGCGCUGCAUUAGCUAGUUGGUAAGGUAACGGCUUACCAAGGCAACGAUGCAUAGCCGACCUGAGAGGGUGAUCGGCCACACUGGAACUGAGACACGGUCCAGACUCCUACGGGAGGCAGCAGUAGGGAAUCUUCCGCAAUGGGCGAAAGCCUGACGGAGCAACGCCGCGUGAGUGAUGAAGGUCUUCGGAUCGUAAAACUCUGUUAUUAGGGAAGAACAUAUGUGUAAGUAACUGUGCACAUCUUGACGGUACCUAAUCAGAAAGCCACGGCUAACUACGUGCCAGCAGCCGCGGUAAUACGUAGGUGGCAAGCGUUAUCCGGAAUUAUUGGGCGUAAAGCGCGCGUAGGCGGUUUUUUAAGUCUGAUGUGAAAGCCCACGGCUCAACCGUGGAGGGUCAUUGGAAACUGGAAAACUUGAGUGCAGAAGAGGAAAGUGGAAUUCCAUGUGUAGCGGUGAAAUGCGCAGAGAUAUGGAGGAACACCAGUGGCGAAGGCGACUUUCUGGUCUGUAACUGACGCUGAUGUGCGAAAGCGUGGGGAUCAAACAGGAUUAGAUACCCUGGUAGUCCACGCCGUAAACGAUGAGUGCUAAGUGUUAGGGGGUUUCCGCCCCUUAGUGCUGCAGCUAACGCAUUAAGCACUCCGCCUGGGGAGUACGACCGCAAGGUUGAAACUCAAAGGAAUUGACGGGGACCCGCACAAGCGGUGGAGCAUGUGGUUUAAUUCGAAGCAACGCGAAGAACCUUACCAAAUCUUGACAUCCUUUGACAACUCUAGAGAUAGAGCUUUCCCCUUCGGGGGACAAAGUGACAGGUGGUGCAUGGUUGUCGUCAGCUCGUGUCGUGAGAUGUUGGGUUAAGUCCCGCAACGAGCGCAACCCUUAAGCUUAGUUGCCAUCAUUAAGUUGGGCACUCUAAGUUGACUGCCGGUGACAAACCGGAGGAAGGUGGGGAUGACGUCAAAUCAUCAUGCCCCUUAUGAUUUGGGCUACACACGUGCUACAAUGGACAAUACAAAGGGCAGCGAAACCGCGAGGUCAAGCAAAUCCCAUAAAGUUGUUCUCAGUUCGGAUUGUAGUCUGCAACUCGACUACAUGAAGCUGGAAUCGCUAGUAAUCGUAGAUCAGCAUGCUACGGUGAAUACGUUCCCGGGUCUUGUACACACCGCCCGUCACACCACGAGAGUUUGUAACACCCGAAGCCGGUGGAGUAACCUUUUAGGAGCUAGCCGUCGAAGGUGGGACAAAUGAUUGGGGUGAAGUCGUAACAAGGUAGCCGUAUCGGAAGGUGCGGCUGGAUCACCUCCUUU